CUUGCUUUGCCACCGGGUAAAGCAUAUAAGGUGUUCUACAACAUUCCGUUAGGUCUUAGAAGGAGUGUUGCGGAACACUUUUUUUCG
rnacentral:ncRNA from 1 species